AGUUGUUAGCGGGGGGACUGUUCCACAGUUGAGAAGGUAAAACCUGACCCUUAGAACCUGGCGGUUAAGACCGGCGUAGGGAAGCGAUUGAGGAACAUUA
rnacentral:ncRNA from 1 species